rnacentral:rRNA from 1 species
UACGUAGGGGCUAGCGUUGUCCGGAAUCAUUGGGCGUAAAGCGCGUGUAGGCGGUCCGGUAAGUCCGCUGUGAAAGUCGGGGGCUCAACCCUCGAAUGCCGGUGGAUACUGUCGGGCUAGAGUGCGGAAGAGGCGAGUGGAAUUCCUGGUGUAGCGGUGAAAUGCGCAGAUAUCAGGAGGAACACCAAUUGCGAAGGCAGCUCGCUGGGACGUAACUGACGCUGAGACGCGAAAGCGUGGGAGCAAACAGG